UUUCAUUUUGCCAAUUUCGACCCCUUAGCGAACAUUUCGUAAUUCCUGAAGAUUCGUCCGUCGGAUUUUUGAACGGUUCACGCCAGCGCGUUCAGCACGACUGGGGCAUCGCAUCUAGUGUCUCGUUUCAUUCGAUUUGAUCGCAGAUUCACAACGAAAAACUCAUCCACUCUCCAAAUACCAAAAACCACAUAUAUACCUAUAUGUGUAAAAACAAUAAACCUCCUUUUUCUCGAAAACCGUUCAUCAAAUCUGAAAUCUGUUAGUGCCAUUGUUUCCAGAAUAGUUGAACCGUUCAAAGCGAGUUAUUGGACGCGCCAGAAGCGAACUCUGCUCAUCAGCCUCUCCGAAAAAUCGGAGUUACUAUUCACUUUAAGUGAUUAGUAUUUAUCGUGUAACUUCUCCAUUCUAGCUCGUUUUCUCCUAAAACUUGACGAGUGCUUAUGUAAUUAAAUUACACACAAAAACAUCGUCAACAGAUAAUUUAGCUACACUAUCAAAAUCUCAGUCCUUAUAAUAUGUCAUAAUGUCAUUAUUCUCGCUGUCACUAGAUUAUUU
rnacentral:lncRNA from 1 species